rnacentral:rRNA from 1 species
CCUACGGGGCGCAGCAGUGGGGAAUAUUGGACAAUGGGCGAAAGCCUGAUCCAGCCAUACCGCGUGUGUGAAGAAGGCCUUCGGGUUGUAAAGCACUUUCAGUGGGGAAGAAAGCCUUGGGGCUAAUACCCUCGAGGAAGGACAUCACCCACAGAAGAAGCACCGGCUAACUCCGUGCCAGCAGCCGCGGUAAUACGGAGGGUGCGAGCGUUAAUCGGAAUUACUGGGCGUAAAGCGCGCGUAGGCGGUCUGAUAAGCCGGUUGUGAAAGCCCCGGGCUCAACCUGGGAACGGCAUCCGGAACUGUCAGGCUAGAGUGCAGGAGAGGAAGGUAGAAUUCCCGGUGUAGCGGUGAAAUGCGUAGAGAUCGGGAGGAAUACCAGUGGCGAAGGCGGCCUUCUGGACUGACACUGACGCUGAGGUGCGAAAGCGUGGGUAGCAAACAGGAUUAGAUAACCCAGUAGUC